rnacentral:rRNA from 1 species
GAUGAACGCUGGCGGCGUGCCUAAUACAUGCAAGUCGAGCGAACAGACGAGGAGCUUGCUCCUCUGACGUUAGCGGCGGACGGGUGAGUAACACGUGGAUAACCUACCUAUAAGACUGGGAUAACUUCGGGAAACCGGAGCUAAUACCGGAUAAUAUAUUGAACCGCAUGGUUCAAUAGUGAAAGACGGUUUUGCUGUCACUUAUAGAUGGAUCCGCGCCGCAUUAGCUAGUUGGUAAGGUAACGGCUUACCAAGGCAACGGUGCGUAGCCGACCUGAGGGGGGAUCGGCCACAACGGAACGUAGGCACGGUCCAGAGCCCUACGGGAGGGCAGAGGUGGGAAUAUUUCAGAAUGGGGGGAAGGCUUGCCCGGGCAGCCCGCGGGGGUGAAGGAAGCCUUUGGGUUGGAAAACCCUUUUUUUGGGGAAAAAAAAAAGGGGGAUGAAACCACGCGGGUCUGACGGGACCCAAAGAAGAAGCACCGGCUAACUUCGUG